UCCCAUGUGGUCUAGUGGGUAGGAUUCGUGGCUUUCACCCACGCGGCCCAGGUUCGAUUCCCGGCAUGAGAA
ncrna:length=994